ensembl:lncRNA
CCCAAGAGUAAAAUGUUUCUCAGAAUCUCCAGUCGCUUUGAAUGGAACAUUUAUGCACCUGAAUCAACUAACUGCUGGCUUGAUUGAACCAAAUUAACUUGUCCAAGCCUCUCAUGGGGCCAUAGACUUUCUUGCACUGGCUGAAAACAGAACUGUGAUUCUGAGAAAAAUAAAAUGUCCUCCAUUGUUAGGGCAGGAUGCAAUUAUGGAUAACGACAGUCAAAUCAAUAGUUGAGCUCUGGGAAUUGUUGUAUAACGUGUGUGUGUGUGUGAGUGAGUGAGUGAGUGAGUGAGUGAGUGAGUGAGAGAGAGAGAGAGAGAGAGAGAGAGAGAGAGAGAGAGAGAGAGAGAGAGAGAGCGAGAGAGAGAGACAUUCUCUAACUGGGAACAGUCACAUGUGUCUUUGAUUAGACAAAAAUGCUACAUUUAUUUGAAGAUUUUAAAGAUAUCAUAUCACAAACAAUGGGACACAAAUAGUGACUGAAAUCUUACAUUCACUUUAAACAAUCAAAAGCAUUAAAAAAACACAAUCAUAGAAAUGUGACAUGUUCUUCUAGCUCUCAGAGGAGAAACAGUGGAGGUAUGAACAAAUAAGAUAAAAAAAUCAACACAACUUGAAACAAAUGGCAGACAAAAAACAUCGAAAUAGGACACCUUUUCUGAUUAGGUUUAUUUCUGGAUCCUCUUCAGGUGCCAUAGUGUCCACUACAGUGUUCUCCAGUUCUGUCCAUUAGAAACACAUUCCAUACAGUAUCUCUAUGAGCGAACCAUUGUUUAGGGUCAGUAAACCAUAAACAUAUGGCUAAAGUGGACAAGCUAUUCUAGAUAACGCAAGAGGGGCUUCUGCAUUGAAUUCUGUCAGGGUAAGAGGGGAAUUCUGUCAGGGUUAGAGGUGAAAUCUGUCAGGGUUAGAGGUGAAUUCUGCCAGGGUAAGAGGUGAAAUCUGUCAGGGUUAGAGGUGAAAUCUGUCAGGGUUAGUGGUGAAAUCUGUCAGGGUUAGAGGUGAAUUCUGUCAGGGUUAGAGGUGAAUUCUGCCAGGGUAAGAGGUGAAUUCUGCCAGGGUUAGAGGUGAAAUCUGUCAGGGUUAGUGGUGAAAUCGGUCAGGGUUAGAGGUGAAUUCUACCAGGGUUAGAGGUACAUUCUGUCAGGGUUAGAGGUGAAAUCUGUCAGGGUUAGAGGUGAAUUCUGCCAGGGUUAGAGGUGAAUCCUACCAGGGUUAGAGGUGAAUUAAGCCAGGGUUAGUGGUGAAUUAAGCCAGGGUUAGUGGUGAAAUCUGUCAGGGUUAGAGGUGAAUUCUGCCAGGGUUAGAGGUGAAUUCUGACAGGGUUAGAGGUGAAUUCUGUCAGGGAUAGAGGUGAAAUCUGUCAGGGUUAGAGGUGAAUUCUGCCAGGGUUAGAGGUGAAUUCUGCCAGGGUUAGAGGUGAAAUCUGCCAGGGUUAGAGGUGAAUUCUGCCAGGGUUAGAGGUGAAUUCUGCCAGGGUUAGAGGUGAAUUCUGUCAGGGUUAGAGGCAGUAAAGGAGUCAUUAUAAGACCGAACUGUUGGCUAAGAUGCAUGCAUAUAUAAGCGAGGCUACAGUACCAGAGAUCAUGCUUCUGACAUGGAUGGAUGCCUCCCAGGCAUUAUCUUAUCAGCCACCACCUGACCGUGCCAUUAAGCAUUCACAUGACUGGCUAUAGAACAACAACAGUAGAAGUUGAGAAGGUGCCUGUGUCGGGGUGAACCAACUAGAAAAUAGUUCUCUCUUUAUCUCCAAUGAGAGAAACUAAGGCUCUGGUCCAACAUCCAGACUAGCACACUGCUUUGAAGCUAUUAUAGUUGGUGUAUGCCUUAGCACGCUAGUGUCGAUGUUUGGAACAUAGCUGAUGUAGUUGAUUGGUUUGGAAUACACCUCAUCAUAGACAUGAGCUGAAUGGCCCACCUAAACCACCUAGCCCACACAGGAGUGAGAUACUGCGCAACAAAGACUGAUGAGUAUUGAUACAGAGAGAGGGACACAACCCUCUAAAAUCUGACCAGGGAUCAGUGUUGUCUUACCCUUUGGUCUGGUCUGAGGAGCAUGCAUGCCUGAGGGGUGGGCUUCAAGGGAGAGGUUUUUAAAGGGAUCAACAGGUAGAAAACAUACAAUAUCCCUGUUAACCUGACCCUGUGUGAAGAAGUGUAUAAAGUAUCUUGCGAAUGCCAUGAGGGAAUGCUAGAGAGAGAGAACGAGAGAGUGCCCAUUCCAGAACUCAGAUUGUGAAAAUAAAGAGCCUUCCUUCUUGUCAGUCUGUUUCUCCCUAUCAUACAAGACCAUAUUGACUUUAUUAAAGAAAGAGUGACUUCCUUUUCUUUCUUGUAAAGUGGGCUUAUUGCAGAGAGAAUCAUGAAUCAGGGGAAUGUGGUAGAGUGGCAUGGAUGUACUUCAAUGAAGGAUGAAAUAAGUGUCACAUACAUGUGAAGCCUGAGUUCUUCUCUUGUCGUAACCUAGUCAGUCACUUUCUUUUCAGGAGAACAUACUGUGAAUGAAAACGAGGGAAGAACGAGUACCAUGUAACAACCUGGACAAGAGGGCAAAGUGAGAGAGCUGAUGUUUUGGUGAAACGUUUGUAGGUUUUUCCAUCCAUGUCAAGUCAUCCAUUUUGGGAUCUGGGUAGCCCCACAGGAGUAGAGGUGGACAUGAAGUCUUUGCAGUGCCUCGGAAAGAGGGUUGAGUUGAGCUGUGGUCAGUAUGGUGGGGACGUGAGGUGAGGAGGGGACAGCAAAGACCCCGGGCACACAGUACAUUCAUCAGAAGCUCAGAGACAGUCUCCCAUAGCAUCAGAUGAGAGCCUGACAAACAAGAACUGAAAUUACCCUGAAACAAAAGUCCUGAAUGUUGGAGAGCUGCAGCAGUUCUUCACUCAUUCAUCUGGAAGUUUACUGAUUACAAACAAAUAAACAAAUAAAGCAGGAGAAUAAAUAAAUAUUACUGAUACCAGAACACAGAAUCUGGUAAAAAAUGUACAAAAAACCCAACUUUGUUAAAAGUUCAUAUCUAUACUUGCAGGUUUAGGAACAUGCAUAGAUAGAUACAAUAUGUUUAACGUUGUUGUUGAGUGAAAC